rnacentral:lncRNA from 1 species
AUUCUUCAUAUCUUGCAAAAACAGAAUGAAUUCAACAAAUGUUUGUUUUAUUAUUUAUUGAAGAUGUUUCAAAACCUUUUGUGGCUGUUUUCGUCAGGGGCGGAUUUUCUGGGGGGGUGCAGGGGGGUGCGCACCCCCCCAAAAUUUUCUAGCACCCCCCCAGAAAAAUUCGAAAAUGGCGUGCAUACUGUAGGUUAUUAUUAUUAUAACCUUUAUUUAAAGAAAAUUAUACAUUUAGCAGUAAGAGUACAACUUACUGAUAACUUCAACAAAUGCAAUUAUAUCAUAUGUUAUACUAAGACAAGUAUUUUUAAUUUAUAAAACUAAAUAUACUACGUAAAAAUGUCUAAAGAUUAAAUAUCCAAACGCAUAUUCAAUUUUAAUAAAAAGACCAGAUAAAAAGCUACGACUAAACUAAACUUUCGUGAAAAAACAAUUAGGUAGAAUACUAAGCCUAAAAAUUCAGUGAAAAGGCCAAGUAUAAUACUGUAAAUCUAAGCUACGAGCGCAAGUCUAAUUUUGGCGUGUGAAACGGCUGAAUCGAAACCGAGAACAGUGGCAGAAGACGAACAAAGUCAAAGUGAAUUUCCAGAUCGUUGGUGAGGUUCUGACCAACUUUUAAUUUUAAAAGUGUAUGAACCGGAGAGAGACAAUAAAAUAUGAAAACUUUGUGCUUCGACUUUCUGUUGUUUUGUGAAACACCAGAAAUCAGAAGUUCAUAAAAAUUGCUACGAGAAAUGGAAGGCAAAGGUCCGAAUAUCAGAUGGACAAGAUACAAGUAUACUCGCGAAACUGGUUCCCGACCAAGCGAAAACAACUCGAAACAACAGAGAGUACUUUAAUUUAAACUUCUGUUCCAGUAUGUAAUUUGGUUUGCAAUGAACGAAAUAACAUUCCUGGACCAUGACGAGGCGGCUGAUUCGAAGAACCCAGGUAACUGGAGAACUUUUAUAAAGAUGCAACUGAAGACCAACAAGGAGUUUCGAAG